UACGUAGGGACCGAGCGUUGUCCGGAUUCAUUGGGCGUAAAGAGCUCGUAGGCGGCCACUCAAGUCGAAUGUGAAACCUCGAGGCUUAACCUCGAGCCUGCAUUCGAUACUGGGUGGCUAGAGUCUGGUAGGGGGAUCUGGAAUUCCUGGUGUAGCGGUGGAAUGCGCAGAUAUCAGGAGGAACACCGUUGGCGAAGGCGGGAUCCUGGGCAAGUACUGACGCUGAGGAGCGAAAGCGUGGGGAGCAAACAGG
rnacentral:rRNA from 1 species